rnacentral:rRNA from 1 species
GUGGGGAAUAUUGGACAAUGGGCGAAAGCCUGAUCCAGCCAUGCCGCGUGUGUGAAGAAGGUCUUCGGAUUGUAAAGCACUUUAAGUUGGGAGGAAGGGCAGUAAGUUAAUACCUUGCUGUUUUGACGUUACCGACAGAAUAAGCACCGGCUAACUUCGUGCCAGCAGCCGCGGUAAUACGAAGGGUGCAAGCGUUAAUCGGAAUUACUGGGCGUAAAGCGCGCGUAGGUGGUUUUGUAAGUUGGAGGUGAAAUCCCCGGGCUCAACCUGGGAACUGCGUCCAAAACUGCAUGACUAGAGUACGGUAGAGGGUAGUGGAAUUUCCUGUGUAGCGGUGAAAUGCGUAGAUAUAGGAAGGAACACCAGUGGCGAAGGCGACUACCUGGACUGAUACUGACACUGAGGUGCGAAAGCGUGGGGAGCAAACAGGAUUAGAUACCCGGGUAGUCC